rfam:Wallemia sebi CBS 633.66 unplaced genomic scaffold WALSEscaffold_6, whole genome shotgun sequence.
GGCUGAUUGGCGCAGUGGUAGCGCAGCAGAUUCCAAAUCUGAAGGCCGGGAGUUCGAAUCUCUCAUCGGUCA